GGGGAAUAUUGCACAAUGGGCGCAAGCCUGAUGCAGCGACGCCGCGUGAGGGAUGACGGCCUUCGGGUUGUAAACCUCUUUCACCCAUGACGAAGCGCAAGUGACGGUAGUGGGAGAAGAAGUACCGGCCAACUACGUGCCAGCAGCCGCGGUAAUACGUAGGGUGCGAGCGUUGUCCGGAAUUACUGGGCGUAAAGAGCUCGUAGGCGGUUUGUCGCGUCGUCUGUGAAAUCCCGCAGCUCAACUGCGGGCUUGCAGGCGAUACGGGCAGACUCGAGUACUGCAGGGGAGACUGGAAUUCCUGGUGUAGCGGUGAAAUGCGCAGAUAUCAGGAGGAACACCGGUGGCGAAGGCGGGUCUCUGGGCAGUAACUGACGCUGAGGAGCGAAAGCGUGGGUAGCGAAC
rnacentral:rRNA from 1 species